CCGAGUUAUACAACUCAUCAACCCUGUGUACAUACCUAUAACGUUGCCUCGGCGGGAACAGACGGCCCCGUAACACGGGCCGCCCCCGCCAGAGGACCCCCUAACUCUGUUUCUAUAAUGCUUCUUCUGAGUAAACAAGCAAAUAAAUUA
rnacentral:misc_RNA from 1 species